rnacentral:tRNA from 1 species
GCGCUCGUAGCUCAGCUGGAUAGAGUACCUGGCUACGAACCAUACGGUCAGAGGUUCGAAUCCUCUCGGACGCGCCA